rnacentral:rRNA from 1 species
GACGAACGCUGGCGGCGUGCUUAACACAUGCAAGUGGAGCGACGAACCGGGGCUUGCCCCGGGGCAGAGCCGCGAACGGGUGAGUAACACGUGGGUAACCUGCCUCAAUGAUUGGGACAACCCCGGGGAAACUCGGGCUAAUACCAAAUGUGUUCACUCCUUCUAAGGGGAGUGAGGAAAGGAAGCUUCGGCCUCCGCAUUGAGAUGGGCCCGCGGCCCCAUUAGCUUGUUGGUGAGGUAACGGCUCACCAAGGCUUCGAUGGGUAGCUGGUCUGAGAGGACGAUCAGCCACACUGGGACUGAGACACGGCCCAGACUCCUACGGAGGCAGCAGUGGGGAAUCGUUGCACAAUGCGCGAAAGCGUGAUGCA